GGAGAGAUGGCCGAGCGGCUGAAGGCAGCGGUUUGCUAAACCGCCAUACGUUUUAAAAACGUAUCGAGGGUUCGAAUCCCUCUCUCUCCG
rnacentral:tRNA from 1 species